GUAGGUGGCAAGCGUUGUCCGGGAAUUAUUGGGGCGUAAAGCGCGCGCAGGCGGUUCUUUAAGUCUGAUGUGAAAGCCCACGGGCUCAACCGUGGAGGGUCAUUGGAAACUGGAGAACUUGAGUACAGAAGAGGAAAGCGGAAUUCCACGUGUAGCGGUGAAAUGCGUAGAGAUGUGGAGGAACACCAGUGGCGAAGGCGGCUUUCUGGUCUGUAACUGACGCUGAGGCGCGAAAGCGUGGGGAGCAAACAGGAUUAGAUACCCUGGUAGUCCACGCCGUAAACGAUGAGUGCUAAGUGCUAGGGGGUUUCCGCCCCUUAGUGCUGCAGCUAACGCAUUAAGCACUCCGCCUGGGGAGUACGGCCGCAAAGGCUGA
rnacentral:rRNA from 1 species